rnacentral:rRNA from 1 species
CCUACGGGUGGCAGCAGUGAGGAAUAUUGGUCAAUGUGCGCUAGCCUGAACCAGCCAAGUAGCGUGAAGGAUGACUGCCCUAUGGGUUGUAAACUUCUUUUAUAUGGGAAUAAAGUGCAGUAUGUAUACUGCUUUGCAUGUACCUUAUGAAUAAGGAUCGGCUAACUCCGUGCCAGCAGCCGCGGUAAUACGGAGGAUCUGAGCGUUAUCCGGAUAUAUUGGGUUUAAAGGGAGCGUAGGCGGGUUGUUAAGUCAGUUGUGAAAGUUUGCGGCUCAACCGUAAAAUUGCAGUUGAUACUGGCAUCCUUGAGUACAGUAGAGGUAGGCGGAAUUCGUGGGGUAGCGGUGAAAUGCUUAGAUAUCACGAAGAACGCCGAUUGCGGAGGCAGCCUGCUGGACUGUAACUGACGUUGAGGCACGAAAGCGUGGGGAGCAAACAGGAUUAGAUACCCGAGUAGUC